rnacentral:rRNA from 1 species
AGUCGAGCGGGGCACCUCGGUGUCCAGCGGCGAACGGGUGAGUAACACGUGGGCAACCUGCCCUCAGCUCUGGGAUAAGCCGGGGAAACUCGGUCUAAUACCGGAUAUGACAUUCUCCCGCAUGGGGGGGUGUGGAAAGAUUUAUCGGCUGGGGAUGGGCCCGCGGCCUAUCAGCUUGUUGGUGGGGUGAUGGCCUACCAAGGCGACGACGGGUAGCCGGCCUGAGAGGGCGAUCGGCCACACUGGGACUGAGACACGGCCCAGACUCCUACGGGAGGCAGCAGUGGGGAAUAUUGCGCAAUGGGCGGAAGCCUGACGCAGCGACGCCGCGUGGGGGAUGACGGCCUUCGGGUUGUAAACCUCUUUCAGCUCCGACGGAGCGCAAGUGACGGUAGGGGCAGAAGAAGCACCGGCCAACUACGUGCCAGCAGCCGCGGUAAUACGUAGGGUGCAAGCGUUGUCCGGAAUUAUUGGGCGUAAAGAGCUCGUAGGCGGCGUGUCACGUCGGCUGUGAAAACCCGAGGCUCAACCUCGGGCCUGCAGUCGAUACGGGCAGGCUAGAGUUCGGUAGGGGAGACUGGAAUUCCUGGUGUAGCGGUGAAAUGCGCAGAUAUCAGGAGGAACACCGGUGGCGAAGGCGGGUCUCUGGGCCGAAACUGACGCUGAGGAUCGAAAGCGUGGGGAGCGAACAGGAUUAGAUACCCUGGUA